CUCAUACUCCCUCCGUCCCAAAAUUCUUGUCUUAAAUUUGUCUACAUAUGAAUGUAUCUAGUCACAUUUUAGUAUUUACAUACAUCCAUUUUUAGACAAACUUAAAACAAGAAUUUUGGGACGGAGGGAAUAUAUA
rnacentral:pre_miRNA from 1 species